CCCCUGAGCUUAGCUUGGUUGGUUAGAGUGUAGUUCUGAUAAUGCCAAGGUCAUGGGUUCGAUUCCCAUUCAGGACU